UCAUAUACUUCAUAACUCAGCCAUGCAUCCCUAAGUGAUUUCUGUGUUUUUCAAUCACCCUCUUCAGGGGGGAAUGUAUAUAUAUUAUUAUUAUUUUAAUUUGCAAAGUUUAAAUUCCUUUUGAGAGUAAUUUUAGGUUAAGAAACAUGCAACCUCUCUGAAUCCAGAAAGUGAAUGUUUGGAGAAGUCACCAUGAAGGUGCCUCCAUAGACCACAAGCUACACCAGAAGAUCCAGAAUGAACUUUGGGAUGUGAUGAUUUGAACUGUGUGGGGUUUAAAUGCAUUUGUUUUGUAUGUAUACUCUUAUGCCAAAGGGGACUGCCCCCUAACUGGCUUUUUGUCAAUGCACCUAGCAAUUAUUGGUUUUGUUCUCUUUUCCCUUUAUUCUCAAAUUAUUGUAAUUUCAAAGUUGGUAUGUUUACGAGACCCAUCAGAGAGACUAAUCUUCCUUGGGCCUCAGGUGGGAUGUAAAAAUGGAGAUUUUGAACCCUAGACUUCAAUCCCCAGAAGUCCUUGGUAUUUCCCAGAAGUCCCUAUAAUCUCACCUGAGUCUCCAUGUUGGUGAGAUAAAAAUUUGUAUCUAACUGACAGUAACGCCUCCCACAGACUCUUCUCUUCUCUGCUAUUGCAAUGAUGUAGCAAGUAUAGUGGUAAGCUAAGCACGGGGAUUUUGAAUGGGCUAAUCAGCCAUGGGCAUGUGGUUUUAAUUUUGUAUCCUUGAUUUCUAAUAAUCCUUAAUAAACCUCAUAAAUAUAAUAUUUUUAUUACUAUAGAUACUAAUUUAAUUUUUACACUUCUUCCUAUUCAGGCUUGGACCUGAAUCAUCUACUUGAAAUACCUACACAAGAUAUAUCUACUGAUGGAGUAAUUAAUAAUCAUCCAACUAAAUUUUCUGGGAAAGUCUGCCUAUGCCCCUAAGAGGAGCCCAGAAGACCAGGAAAUGGCAGCUGAGCUCCUAUCAUCCAGGCCUCAGGUACUACCUCCCCAUACCCCAAGAUAAUUUUGAUGUCCAGUCUCCUUCAAAGAAUAGUCAAGGUUGUGAGACCAGGAACAUGAAAAAGGAACUGACUCCAGCACAAGAAAUACUUAAAGAAGAGGAAUCAAAGAGGGCAAUUUUGGAAAUACUCAGAGGAAAUAUUAUCUAGCCAUCCAAGUUUCAUAUUGCCUUUGAAAUCUAAGGCAGUUUAAUAAGAUCUCAGAGGAAUGCUACUGGGAAAAGAUUCAAGAAAUUGCUUUCCAGAGAACAAAGUGCCAAACCAAUGACAGUGAUCCAUAGGAAUAUUAGUCCAGGACAAGUCCCCCUCCCAAAUUUAGCA
rnacentral:lncRNA from 1 species